rnacentral:rRNA from 1 species
AACAAGCGCUGGCGGCGUGCCUAAUACAUGCAAGUCGAACGGGGAGAGCUUUCGGGUGAGUACUAGUGGCGCACGGGUGAGGAACGCGUGGAUAAUCUGCCUUAGAGUGGGGGAUAACUAGUCGAAAGAUUAGCUAAUACCGCAUAAGACCACAGGAGCUGCGGCUCAAGGGGUCAAAGGUUUUUCGCUCUAAGAUGAGUCCGCGUAAGAUUAGCUAGUUGGUGAGGUAACGGCUCACCAAGGCGACGAUCUUUAACUGGUCUGAGAGGAUGAUCAGUCACACUGGAACUGAGACACGGUCCAGACUCCUUCGGGAGGCAGCAGUAGGGAAUAUUGCACAAUGGAGGAAACUCUGAUGCAGCGACGCCGCGUGAGUGAUGAAGGCCUUCGGGUCGUAAAGCUCUGUCGCAGGGGAAUGACACAAUGAAUGUACCCUGUAAGAAAGGAUCGGCUAACUUCGUGCCAGCAGCCGCCGUAACAC